CUGUCUCCUUACCAACACGGCAACGAAAAGCAAGUAGACCCGAACUACAAAGACCAGCAUCCUCCCUCUCGUCAGACGGAAAUGACUAACCGCAAUUGUAGUUUUAGCGCGAGAAAGCCCCAGUGGACGAUGGGAAUUGUAGUUCUUGGAUAUAAGCAUCUGCGACUGCCUCCAGGCUGCUCACAGAAUACCUGAGAGUAAUUAGGGUUUGAUAAGAUUAAUUAUAAUCCAAAACUGUUUCUCUGCGGUUGGCAGAAAAGUAGUCCUCUGUGGUCACGUUUCCGUGAAAAUAUUAAAAAACAGAAAUCCUCUCAGACAUUUUGGUUUGACCAAGAGCAUAUUAAGCAAAAUGUUACUAAAUGAUUAAGUGCCUACUAAGUUCCAAGAGAAUAUUAGCCCAUUAAUAGACUGAGAGAAGCUAAUUCUGUGAAGACGAUGAUGUCUCUCUUUGGGCUAAGAUACCAGGUGACAAGACACUGUCGAGAUAAAGAGAUUCCGCAGCUGAGUUAGAAACUGUCUUAUACAGAGUUCAGAGGUAGGGCUUCAAUCAAACAAUUUCCUUGAACUUUCGUUUUUGCAAUCACAAAACCCAGAAGUCCAAGUAAUUGUUAACUGUUUGGGGAGUUCUCUUGCUUUUUUAAACCAGGACUGGUUUCUGCAAAUACUUCAUUACAAUUUUAGGUUAUUUGUGCUUCUAACUCUUUCCUAGUUGCAGAGAUUAAAGGCAUUAAAAAACAAAAUGGAGCUGGGCUACUUAUGCUUAAACGAUGGAUUUAUUCAUGAAUCAUUGACUUCGACCUCCAGCCUCAUCAAAUGCAUAAACCAAUGGGACUGCCUGAUCUUGGACUGUGAGCUGCCAGCACUGUAAGCCAAAAUCAGUUUUCUUCCUUCCAAGUAGCCCUUCUCAGCACGAACCUCCUGGUGUGAAAGAUGACAAAUAACGGAUUAAUGAUGAAAACCUGGAAGCAGAAGCUGAGCCAAGAAUCUCCAGAAACCAAAAUGUCAAAUGCAGCAGGGGAACUCUGAUCCCUUUUAAAAGUCAUACACCUUCUCCUCUCUCAACCCUGUCUUCCCUCUGUGUCAUCCCGAAGUGCUGAAGAUAAAUUUGAAUGGUGGAGGAUCCUACUUCAACAUUGACCCAUGGAGGGUCUUCUCCUUUUAGAUUUGGAGUGAGAUCAAUAGAGGGCUCUGGAAGGGAUUUCAGAGGCCCUCAUCAGUAGGAAGAAGGAAGAAGUUAUAAAUAGGACAAACUAGAACAGGAAAAAAGGACUUCUUUUUUGGAUGAUGAACCUCAGACUUCUUUGAGCUUAAAUUUGUGCCUGUAGAUCUCCUUUUUGCCCCAAGGAUUUUCAUCUGAACUUUGGAAGCAAGCUUCAUGCACAGAAGUUAUACUUCACCUUCUCCGAUGAUUCUUUCCUGUUACACAAUGCUAUGUGGAUCAAAAUACUGCAAUGUCUGAAAUCCUGGAGUUAAUUUUUUUCUCCUGAUCUUUUUCCCCCUGCUAAAAUGAGAGGUACACCUGUCUUAGGUCGCUUAGGAGACCUUUCAGAAGACUGAAAUUUCUUUUGUUCUGAAAGUCUUCAUUCAGUGAAACAUAUGAACAAACCCAGUGUUCCUACACAUGUAAUCCAUUAAUGAACCUUAGAGUCUGACUGUACUAAAUUAAUAAAUUUUCAGCUUUAUUGAUUAUCUUCCCUAUUCUGCUUUAAUGUUGCUGCUCUGGAGUUAUUGACAUGAAAACCAGAAAAGUUGCUUUCAGAUUUUCACCUGGAUGCAUUAAGAACAAAUCACAUCACUUAUUAGUCAUGACAAUACUUUGAACAAUGCCUAGGAUGUUGUAAAUGUUGAAUAAGUAUAGUUAUGAUUCUUUUUCUGAUUCUGAGGCUUUUACAAACUUUAAUGCUUGGUCAGGCAAGUGUGCCAUUAUUUUGGUUUUCAAAAAUUAUUGGCAUCAUCACUGAAUAUUCUUACUGAUGACCUUUAGAUUACAUUUAUCAAGACCCAAAGGAGGAACAGAAGAAUACUCCUGCCAUUUUUAUAGACUAGAUUUUCUCACUGUUUAAAUUACUGAGACAAAUCAAUACAAAACUUAGUGGUUUCAAAGAAGAAAAGUUGAUUGUUUCACAUAAUUUUGUGGGUUGAUUGGGCUCCGUUUUGCAGCUCUUCAGCUCCAUCUAGUGAAGGCUGAGAUUGCUCAUGUGGUUGUAUCCAACCAGGAGCUGUGUCAAAGCGGGGCUAGAGUCCAAGGAUGUCUCUCACAGUUUUGGAGCCUUAUUGCUCUCUGUUGCUAGAACAUUGUUAUAACUGAUUUUGUUCCCCCAGAAUUCAUCACAUGAAAUCCCAACACCCAAUGUGAUAGUAUUAGGAGACAGGACUUUUGAGAUGAAAUUAGGUUGGGCUCUUUUGGGUAGGAUCAGUGCCUGUGAAAAGAGACAGCUGUGGCAUAGUGGGUAAAGCUGCCACCUGCGGUGCUGGCAUCCCAUGUGGGCGCUGGUUCGAGUCCCGGCACUUCCACUUCCAAUCCAGCUCUCUGCUAAUGUGCUUGACAGGGCCCCUGCACCCACAUGGGAGAUCCAAAGAAGCUCUGAGCUCCUGGCUUCGGCCUGGCAGAGCCCUGGCUGUUGUGGCCAUUUUGGGAAGUGAACCAGCAGAUGGAAGGCUUCUCUGUCUCUGCCUUUGCCUCUCCUUCUCUGUAACUCUGACUUUCAAAUAAAUAAAUAAAAAUUAGAGAGAGAGAGAAAAAAAGAAGAGACAGAAGAGAGCUUUCUCGUUCUCUUUCCAUCAUGUAGGGAUCCAACAAAAGACUCUGAAACAUGGAAAAGUCCCCCAUUAGAACCUAACCAUACUUGCACCCUGAUCUAGCUUCCCGACUUACAAGAAAUAAAUAACUGCUUUUAUAGCAAUCUCAGCUAAGAGAGAUGCUUCAGUUCUUCCUCUUUUGGCCUUUUUCUCCAGCUAGAUAACUUGAACUUCUUUCUAGCACAGCUGAGUGCAAAAGAAGAUGUUACAGUUUUUUAAAGUGAGAACUCAGGCUGCACAGCGUGGUGUCUCCCACAUUCUAGUGGUCAAAUCAAGUCACACGUUUAGCCUACUGUUAGGGGGAGGAGAAACAAAUUCUACCUGUUGAUGGAAAGAAGAAAAACACAUCCAGAGAAGAGAGAAGUUGAAGGUGGCUCUCUAUGGAGACUGCCUACCAUAGUCAUGUGGGUUUGUAUCCUAAUGUCUGGUGAUACGUUGGUAUCACUAUUGGUCACAAGGAACAAGAUGGAGAAGACAAGCUGGAACUCAUAGAAAUCUCAGCUGCUCUCUGUCAUGGCAAAUAGCUACAGGGUAUCUUCAAAAAUUUCACAGAACAAGAAGAAAAGUUUAUUUUUGUAUUUAAAGUUUGGGUAUUCAUACAAAUAGAGUUUUCAAAAGUUUAUGAAAACAUAUAUUAUGAAAGAAACAAUCACGGAUCUCAUUUCUUGCACCAAAAACAUAUCUUUUAAGUCCAUUUUUUAUGAGCUUUUUGAAGUACAUUCACAUUAACAGUAUCACAGAACAAUAGCUGUUGAUUUGCUUCCAACUCCAAAAUUUCAUAAAGUCACUUUUUUGGCCAAUUAAAACUUAGACUCAUACAGAGAAGGGGGUCCAGGAAUGUAGCUCUAGCUUUCCCAAGUUGAAAAUAGAAUAGUCCAGCAUACUAUUCCAGAGUACCCACAUGGUGUAUUUCUCCUCUCAUUCAAGCCCAUUUUCAUUACCAGUUAGUGACAUUUUAGAGUUUUCUUCAUGUAACUCUCUUCAUUUUAUUCAUAUGCAUUUUUGAAUAGUAAUUUUGGUACCAUUUUGCUGGAAUAUUAUGAAAUAAUACAAAAUAGUUCUUGAUAAAACCAGGAUGUGGCAGGUAAAGUGAGUGAGUGGUAAAGCCACAGAUGAGUCAGUCUCUUACUCUGAAAUCUACAAAAUCAAGAAACUGAUGACAAUUAUUUUUCUAGAUAAAUUUGUUGAUAUAUUACCCAAAAGUUUAUCUGCAACAAUCAGGUACUUUUAUGUCUCUUACUGAAUAUUCAUGUUUAUUAUUUUGAUUUCACAGUGUUCUUAAUAAAAAAAACUUUUCAAAUAAGACAGGAGGGAUACAGUUAAAUGUGGUGACAUAAGAGUGUCUUUUCAUUACACAUCCAUAGUGUUCUUUAUUUGUAUGCUAGAGAAAUCCAACAAGAUGUAUAAAUUGCCCCUUGAUUCUUGUAGAUGUGUUUUCACAUGUGGGAGACUGUCCAUUUGGGAUUGGAGGUACCAUGUGAAUCGUUACAUACUGUUUUUGAGGGGAGGGAUCUCCAUUCCUAGAUGCAUAGAAUGGAUAUGUGCCAGAUGUCUUGUGUUUGCAGAGAUGCAGGUCAGUAAUAUCUGCUAUCGUAUAGAGACCAGGCAGCAUAGUGCUAUUCACAAGGAGUUUUACAUUCAAAUGGAUGUUCCAUCAUCUAGAAAUAUUUCUACACAAGUCUUAUUGCCUUUGUGAAUGAUUUUUUCAUGAUUCUCCGUUGCAUGUUAUAUCAUACAGUCAUUUCAAGGUGUAAAUAUAUAACUGGGCAUGUUAUUGAAAUAAUUCCCAUAGCCUUUCCAUUGAUUCAGUUGUAUUUUCUAGGCAGACAAUUGUGUAGGAUUAGAGAUUUUCACUUUCUUCUUUCCAAAAUUUAAUACUUUUACAUUUUUCUAAGAACAGAUAAUAUUGGUUGGCUUUGGCAAGGAGGCUUUCUGCUUGAGAUAUAUACUUCAUAAGGGUCUAUCUCAGGUACACAUACAAAUAAAUGUAUUUUUUAAAGGUUUAUUUUAUUUAUUUGAAAGAGCUAUAUAUAGAGAGAGAGCCAGAGAGAGGAAGGUCUUCCAUCUGCUGGUUCACUCCCUAAAUGGCUGCAGGGGCCAGAGCUGAGCUGAUCUGAAGCCAGGAGCCAGGAGCCAGGAGCUUCUUCCAGGUCUCCCAGGUGGGUGCAGGGGCCCAAGGACUUGGGCAAUCUUCUACUGCUUUCCCAGGCCAUAGCAGAGAGCUGGACUGGAAGAAUAGCAGCUGGGACUCAAACUGGUACCCUUAUAGGAUCCCGGUACCACAGGCCAGGGUUUUAACCCACUACACUACAGUGUCAGCCCCCAAAUAAAUGCAUUAAAGAGUUUAUGAGUGUCGCUACCACUAGAGAUUCUAUACUCAAUGCUGAUAUAAUAUGAUCUGUAAAUUUAAUUGUCUAUUUUUCUAACAUCAAUCAUUUCUCCAGAGAAAUUUUUCUCCCUGAGUCCUGCCUGAUGUUCCUGAAACAGAAGUCAAUAAAAAUUGUGCUACUGUAAAGAUUUGGGGGCUACGCUACUGCUGACACUGGUUUGGAAUAAAGUGAGACCUUGAACAAUGUAAGUCCUUGGUCACAGACAAGCCACACUAACUUGAAAAAUAUUUCCUGUCGUUAUAACAAAGAUGUAAUAGAGUGUUGUGUACAAUGUUUUAUCAGGGUACUGAGCUGCCAUUUUCUUGAUCCUUCUUCAUGUUUUGGAGGGAGUUAUGAAUUAGCACAGUGUUUGUCACGGUUCCACAUGGCAACUGGGGACUAUUUCAUGAUAUUAAAUAAUCAUACUCUAAAGUUCCUAUACAUAUAAAUCUAGAUAUGACAUAUGAAAGUAAAUAUGAAUUUUUACAUCUGACUUUGCAUUAAGUGUGGUGAAAAUUGCAAUGUUACAAAUUGCGAUAAUGAAAAUGAACAUUUCACAAUAUUUUCUAUGAUAAUUUUCAUACAUGAUGCAUUAUAAUAUUUGAACAUAAUAUGCAGAAUUAAUGGGUAUUUC